UUAGGAAUUUUGCGCAAUGGGAGAAAUCCUGACGCAGCAACGCCGCGUGGGUGAUGAAGGCCUUCGGGUUGUAAAGCCCUUUUAGUGGGGACGAAAUAAAUGACGGUACCCGCAGAAAAAGCACCGGCCAACUCUGUGCCAGCAGCCGCGGUAAUACAGAGGGUGCAAGCGUUAUUCGGAAUUACUGGGCGUAAAGCGCAUGUAGGCGGUUCGGUAAGUCUGGUGUGAAAGCCCUCGACUCAAUCGGGGAAGUGCAUCGGAUACUGCCGGACUGGAGUACAGGAGAGGAGAACGGAAUUCCUGGUGUAGAGGUGGAAUUCGUAGAUAUCAGGAGGAACAACGGCGGCGAAGGCGGUUCUCUGGACUGUAACUGACGCUGAGAUGCGAAAGCGUGGGGAGCAAACA
rnacentral:rRNA from 1 species